rnacentral:rRNA from 1 species
AACGAACGCUGGCGGCGUGCCUAAUACAUGCAAGUCGAACGCUGGAGGAGUAACUUCCUUCUCUUGCUGAGUUGCGAACGGGUGAGUAACGCGUAGGUAUCCUGCCUUGUAUCGGCGGAUAACUUUUGGAAACGAUAGCUACUACCGCAUCAUAGUCGAUGUUGCAUGACAUUUGCUUGAACUUUGCACUUGCAUCGCUACCAGGUGCCCCUGCGGUGUAUUAGCUUUUUGGUGGUGUAACGGCUCACCAAGGCGACGAGACAUAGCCGACCUGAGAGGGUGAGCGGCCACACUGGGACUGAGACACGGCCCAGACUCCUACGGGAGGCAGCAGGAGGGAAGCUUCGGAAAUGGACGGAAGUCUGAACGAGCAACGCCGCGGGAGUGAAGAAGGGUGUCGGAUCGUAAAGCUCUGUUGUAAGAGAAGAAAGAGUGUGAGAGUGGAAAGUUCACACUGUGACGGUAUCUGACCAGAAAGGGACGGCUAACUACGUG